rnacentral:rRNA from 1 species
UUUCCGUAGGUGAACCUGCGGAAGGAUCAUUGUCGAAACCUGCAAAAGCAGACCGCGAACACGUUAACUACACUGGGGAUCUCGGCUUGGGGCAACCCAAAGUCGCGUUCCCCUCCCGCACGCACGCACUCGGGUGCUUGUUUUGCGGGCUAACGAACCCCGGCGCGGCAUGCGCCAAGGAAAACUCAAAGAAGCGUCCCCCUCCCGUCGCCCCGUUUGCGGUGAGCGGUCGGGGGAAGGGACGUCUCUCCAAUGUCUGAACGACUCUCGGCAACGGAUAUCUCGGCUCUCGCAUCGAUGAAGAACGUAGCGAAAUGCGAUACUUGGUGUGAAUUGCAGAAUCCCGUGAACCAUCGAGUCUUUGAACGCAAGUUGCGCCCGAAGCCAUUCGGCGGAGGGCACGUCUGCCUGGGCGUCACGCAUCGCGUCGCUCCCCCUCAUGUCCCCACGGGGUGUGCUGUCGGCGGGGGCGGAUAUUGGCCUCCCGUGCGCGAAGACGUGCGGCCGGCCCAAAUGCGAUCCCGCAGCGACCCGCGUCACGGCCAGUGGUGGUUGAACGCUCAACUCUCGUGCUGUCGUGUCGUUUUGUGUCGCACAUCGGGCUCUGUCGCUGACCCAACGGCGCGAGCUGCUCGCGCUUCGAACGCGACCCCAGUCAGUCGGACACCCCGU